GCCAACGUGUGUCAGUUUGACAGUGUACGCACAGUGAGUGGUGAAGAGCUUCAACCACGUUACAUCUGGGAAGUCUCGAAGCCCUCACCCUGCACGGCAGAGUCAUCGGAUUUGUAUACAGUAGCUGUUGUAUACAAGAAGAGAGAAGCCCUGUGUGUUUCACGUUUUCUGUCAUGAACACGGAUCCCAACUCCGGAGGAGGCCAAGGUGUGGGCCCACCAGAAGCGGACAGCAUUGAGUCCAUUUUGCAUGAGUGAUGGUUUAUUUGACUGGAAAUACACAUGUUGCUGGAAACCCUUCAUUGGUGACUAUAGGCAAAAAACCUUUCUUCAUAUGAAAAUGUUAAAUUGAGCUGCUCUCAUUGACAGAACCCAGAAAACUGCAAGCUUGGCUUACUCCGUUUUCUCUGUGUGGUUCCUGAGGUACCUGCAGAUCCAGAAGAUUCCAAGAAAUACAGUCAGGAAAAGAAAAAAAAAAGCAUUUGCAGGAUUCAGGGUCUUUCUUGACAAGCAACAGACUAGUUGAUCUAGGCAAAAAAAAAAAAAAAAAAGACCUAUUUUUACUUUAAUCCUCUUGAGGACAUUGCUUCUGUCCCAGGGGUGCCUGGAGAAGUGCUGCUGCCCAGGUGCUCGCCAGAAUCAAGCCUGGGGUGACACCCAGGGACUGAUGUGACGAGGGUGCCACUGCCACCACGGAAACAUUCAGCAGUGAACCUGAUUCCUCUGCUGCCCCAAAAAGUCAUCCCUUGUGUCACGCCACUGUCAGCAAAGAGAAGUCUCUGUGACUCCUGCAUCCUGGGGUUUCCAGUUCCCAUUCAAAGUCCAGGAGUGGGUCUGAGGGAAGCCCUGGCACCCUUGCUUUAGCUCUGAGGAAGCAGGUGAACCUGAGGGGAAGGGGCAGCCCCCGGGACAACUUGCGGGCUGGGGACAACCUGAACACAGAGCCUGGGUUCACAAGCUUUGAGGCCGAAACAAGCGACCUUUGAUUCAGGUUUGUCAUUCUCAAACCUAGCCACCCAGAUGAAUCAUCUGGAGAGCUUUGAGGAUAAAUUAAGUGACAAAAUAACACAGAGACCAAUUGGAUCCGAAUCCCUAGAGGUAGGGCCCAGGCAGCGAUACGUUUCUUUGUCUCUCGUGGGGAUUCUAAUACACAGUGAAUGUUGAAAACCACUGGCUGCAAUGAUCUCUAAAGUAGUUCCAGCUCUGUUUUUAAGUUUUCAUGACAACAAGCCCAGUGCUCUUUCCACAAUGUUUUGUGCAUUUUAUUUCACAGGAAACUGAGUUCCUCACACCAAAAUGGAGCAAAUUCCAGGAAUAAUCAUCCUAAUUUUUUGCCUCCCAGCUUGUCCCAGCUUCAUAAGAGAAAACCUUUUCUCCUUGUUCUUAAGGCAGAAAGAUGGUUUUAUAAUCUUCCAUUGCUACACACAUCCCUGGUGGGCUGUCCACGUAUUCCGAAUUGUCUAACGUGAGAUGCAUUCUUCCUACAGAGCCAACUUAGGAAUGAAAGGGAGAGAGGAAAAGUCUUUCUUUGGCUUUUGAAGGGAAGGCAGCACAGCUUUUCUGGAACAUAGUUAUGGGCAUUCCAUAGCAGUCCAGUCCAUCUAUUAAUUUAACUUCUAUCAUGUGCCAGGAACUGUGAGAGGCACUGGGGAUCCAAUCAUGGCUCAAACACACACUUCCUUGCCCCCUUGGCAUUUCAGCCUAAAGAGGGAGAUUUUCACAAAUGCUUUGAAGGAAAAGAUCUAAGUUAUAUCAAAGAAUAACAGGUUGGAGGAGUUCAGGAAGGAGACUGGAUUAUGGGGUCAAGGACCACCCCUCUGAUAAAAUGACUCUGGUACUCCUUGACAAGUUGGUAUGGCUAGAUCGGAUCUAGAAGGCAGCCAUGAACAAUAUUCCCCAUUUUUCCUCAAGUCAAAGGCAAUUUCUUUUUCUCUACUUAAAAAGAGGAGAUCCGACAACCAGAUGGGCAUUUGCUCAACUGGUUUACUAUUUAUACUUUGAAACAUAUUGAGAAAUACUGAAGCCACUACGGAAAGCAAAACAUACAACAUUCGGCAAAACCAGUCUCUUGAGGAAAUUUCUCAGGAAGUGCUGGGGCCCAUCUUUCUUGAACAGUGUCUGGUUAAUAGGACAAGAUUUAUGCUUUCCUAGUUAGCUCUCUCAAACCAUUUGCAGAACAAGGCACAGAAUAAAUAGAUAUUAAUCUCUAGUUAACUGCCUCCUGCCUCAUAAAAGAAAAUGUGUCUUACACGUUCAUCCUUGAACUGGUCAAAUUUCUCUCCUUCGGCACAUGGGAGAUGAGAUCUCGGGCACUAUUUCCUGAGUUUAGAAUUUCAAUUUGAGGCUGCCUGUUCUGGAGGUGGUCUUUGGCUUAAAGAGCACUGUCCUAUCUGAGCUACUUGCUUCUGUGGCUUUUUUGCAUCAAACUGAAAGAGUGAGCCCAUCGACCCAGAAUUAGCUGCAAAGCCAUCCCUAAAAGACAAGCUGGAAGUGGAGAUCAUUGAUUCACUUCCCUCCCAUGCCCUUUGGGAAGCCAACCUCAAGGACCUCAAGGGCCUCAAGGAUUUCCCUGGGUGUGCCAUGGCUGUCAGUACCUCUGGACCCAUAGCAAUUUCACACAGGCUGCGUGUGGUUGGUUGUAAACUGAUGCCAGUGCUUAGAACAAGGAACACCAGCUCAAGUGCAAGCUUUUUCAUGUACUAGGCUUGCGACCACAGGCAGUUCACUGCUUUGGGCCACAGUUUUCUCAUCUGUAAAAUGGCGGCAAUGACCCUUACCUACAUUAGCAAGGUGAUGGAAAAUUAAAGGAACUAGUUAAAGAUAAUCAUAAACCAUAAUGUACUUUACAAAUAGAAGGUAGGAUUAUUAUGAUAGCCUUCUAUUUAUUUCCUCUCUAUGCCCCACUUUUUUUUUUUUUUUUUUUUCAAAACACCCCUGUCAGGCCAACCUGCCAAGACCCCCUGCCCCUGGCAACUUUCUGUGAAUCUUUUCCAUCAGCACAUUUUCUCCACUAUCAGAUUGCUCUUACCCAGAUCUGAAUUCUUUUCAUCACCAAUUUUUUGAGGCUUGGUUCUCAAAGGCUUUUAUGUUUUGUUUUGUUUUGCUUUGCAAAAGAAGAACAAUCAGGGAAUCAAACCCUGGGGAAGAGGAGAAACUCAGGAGAGAUGGGAGGGAAGGGGGCUUUGAAAUAAUAAUUAGGGAGGUGGAGAAGUACCAGGUUAGAUGUCAAGUCUACUGGUGGACACAUAUAACAUAAAAUCAAACUGACACACUUUUUAAAAGCAUCAAAGUUGAUAAUGUUUUCUUGUUUCUUUUUUAAUUUACAUACAGUAAAGUUCCCUCUUUUUGGCAUACAGUUCCAGGAGUUUUGACACUCGACAUGACCACCACACUCAGAACAGAGUCCAUCAGUCCAAAAGGAGUCCCUCUUGCUGCUCCUUUGGAAUCUGCUCCUCCCCCAACUUUUAACCCCUGCCAACCACCGAGCUGUUCUCUGUCACUACCAGAAUUUUAAAAUGGGAAAUGAAAAUUUCCAAACCGGUUGGUAAAUGUGGUUUCCUUCCUGUGUCAGCAUUGCCCUUGCUCUGGCUUUUUGUUGUGUUGUAGCUCAUAGUAAUAAAGUUCAAAGAAGAGCUAUUGUUUUCUAAGCAUCCCUACCAUUGUUUUGGCAAAUGCUCUCCUGUCUGGGUGCCAGAAGAAGGUCCUGGGGGUGGGGAUACAUUGUGUUUGCAAAAAUGAACAAGAUCGCAUAGAGAGGCCAUUUUCAGCACAGAAUUGCAACCCUGGUAUAAAAUUAGAAUUGCUUCUCGAGGAGAAACAGCUUUUAUUAAAGUAAGUACAAAUUCUUUCAGGAGAAUCCCAGGUUUGAUAU